GACCACACCAGUGGCUUAGUGGUUAGAGUGUCUGCCUUGGAUGUGGGAGGUCCCAUGUUUAAACCCUGGCUGAAUCA